CUCUUGGCCUCAACAACAAUUCUGGCCCUUAUAGGUAACGCAGCCAUGGACCCGGUUGCGCUGCUGCAGGUGCUGAAGGUGGCCCUGAUGAACCCGGCGAGGGAGAGGGCGCCGCCAGGGCCGUGGAAGCUGCCGGUGGUCGGCAGCAUGCACCACCUGGUGAACGUGUUGCCGCACCGCGCGCUGAGGGAUCUGGCUGGCGCGCAUGGCCCGCUCAUGAUGCUACAGCUUGGGCAGACGCCGCUGCUGGUGGCGUCCUCCAGGGAGACGGCGCGGCUGGUGCUCAAGACCCACGACGCUAACUUCGCCACGCGGCCAAAGAUCCUCGCGGCCCAGAUCGUCACCUACGACUCGGCCGACAUCCUCUUCUCCCCCUCGGGCGAAUACUGGCGCAAACUCCGCCAGCUCUGCGCAGCCGAGAUCCUAGGCCCCAAGCGCGUGCUCUCCUUCCGCCACAUUAGGGAGGACGAGAUGAGGAUGCGGGUGGAGCAGAUCCGCCAGGCAGGGUCGUCGACACCCGUGAACAUGAGCGUCAUGUUCCAUGGCCUGACCAACAGCAUCGUUGCGCGGGCAGCAUUCGGGAAGACGCCGAAGAAGUCACCAGAGUUCCUAGCCGCCAUCAAGUCCGGGGUGCGCCUGGCGAGCGGCUUCAACAUCCCCGACCUCUUCCCGGAGUGGACGACAGUGCUCGCCGCACUCACCGGCAUGGAGCGCAGCCUCCAGGGCGUCCACAAGACGGUGGAUGCAUUCCUGGAGGAGAUGAUCAAUGAGAGGAACGCCGCCCGCGCCGACAAGAUCAAGGUCGGCGGCCCCGAGAACGUGGACGAGAACCUCAUCGACGUGCUCAUUGGCCUACAGGAGAGAGGCGGCCUUGGGUUUGAGCUCGACAACAGUAGGAUCAAGGCCAUCAUCCUGGACAUGUUCGUGGGAGGCACGGGGACAGCAGCAUCGUCGAUGGAGUGGGGGAUGUCGGAGCUGAUGCGGAACCCGCUGGUGAUGAAGAAGUUGCAGGGCCAGAUCCGAGAGGCGUUCAAGGGUAAGGCCGUGGUGACGGAGGCCGACCUGCAGGCGAGCAACCUUCGGUACCUGAAACUGGUGAUCAAGGAGGCACUCCGGCUGCAUCCGCCGGCGCCGCUGCUGGUGCCCCGGGAGAGCAUUGGCAGUUGCGAGCUGCAAGGGUACACGGUCCCUGCCAAGUCGCGCGUCGUCAUCAACGCAUGGGCCAUUGGGCGGGACCCGGUGUACUGGAAGGAUGCCGAGGAGUUCCAGCCUGAGCGCUUCGAGGACGGGGCUGUAGACUUCACCGGCAAGAGCUACGAGUUCGUCCCGUUCGGUGCUGGCCGCAGGAUGUGCCCCGGCAUCAACUACGCGCUUGCCAUCAUGGAACUUGCCCUCGUCGGUCUGCUCUACCACUUUGACUGGUCGCUGCCGGUAGGCGUUUGCGAGGUCGACAUGGAGGAGGCCCCCGGCCUCGGCGUGCGGCGCCGCACGCCGCUGAUGCUCCUCGCCACGCCCUUCGUCCCGGCCGCCCACGAGUAA
rnacentral:rRNA from 1 species